UUCAAGAAGUCAUCCUUAACCACUUCUCAAAGUGGGCUUUCGAACUCCGGCUUCCUUUCCAUGUCCCUUACCCUCCAACUCGUGUCUAACUCCGUUGAAUUCAAAUCCUCCACUGCCACCAUCUUUGAGAAGAAUCUUCGUCAACAACCUUGAAGUACCUCCACCCUAAUACAAAGAUCCCGACUUUGCUCCCUAAUUACUCCAUCACCGUCACCGCCUCCCCAAAUUUCCAAGGCUAUUUGUCGAUCAACGAUCUGGGUAUUAAUCCUAACGACGUUCUAUGAUGGGUUGGUGAUCGUUUACGCAAUCGACAAGCUUUUUAAUUUGUCCUUCUUGGCCUCCGACGCCCCUCAAGAACCGGUGCCAGAUCAGCCAUCGAUGAGCUCUGUUUCGGGUGUUCAAUCGCCGAGCUCUGCUUCGAGUGCGCUUGUAAAUUACAACAUGGAGGCUAAACCGUAUCGGCCCGAUCCAAAAUCUUUGGGUUUCAUUGCCGAUUUGCUGAGAUCCAAAAGGUACGCAAUCUUUGCCACAUUCUUGAUGUGCAGCUGAUAGGGAAGAUGAAAAAAGAAAGCCACGCUGGGUUUCCUUUUAUCUUUUUUUUUUCUUUCUAAUUUUUUAUGAUGAUAAAUUCCUCUUUUUCUGCUUUUCUUUGGUUAAUUUUCUCUUUUUUAUUCAUUCUAACAACAAUUAUUUGGUGAUUUGUUUUAGAAAAUUAUAAUAGUCCGACGUAUUAUCUGAUGCACAGAUUAAUUCGACACAGCAUCAAACGCCAAAUUAAUUUAGUCAGUACAAUCCGAUGUUUAUUUAUCCUAUUCAACUGAAAUAGUAAGUACAGUCACAGCUGUCAAACGAGACCUUAGACUCUUGCCCACUGCUUGAAUGUUAACAUUGCUCACUAACUUAACCGUUGGAGAACCUUUUGGCCUUUGACCGGCAAAGUUUCAGUUUUUGUGCACACAAAACUAAGACAAUCGUCAUCAUUUCAGUAUUGAAGGCACAAGUAACAAAGUAGUGUGUGCGGAAAUGGGAUGCCUCCAUGUCCAAAGAUUUGCGAAGAAUGAAGUUAAGAUACCACACACCUAAAAGAAAAAAAAAAGGGUUGAUAUCAUGACAUGCAAGGCGGCCCUAAUUCAUCCAUGAUGUGCAAGACAAAUAUAAACGGUCUGGAUCCUGCCUCCAGUGAGCAAAUCAUUCAUCACAGCAACCAUAGCAGUUCUACUAAUUGUGAAUUUUGAAGCAUUCGUGUGCUUUAAUUGAUUAAAUAGGUUUUAAUGUAUUUUUUUUGGUCCGGCUCACCUCUGCAGGACAAGAAAAGCUCUGGAUCGACCUCUUCGGGAUCAAAAUAUGUAUCAGAUGGUCAGAAACCUAAGGCCAUCUCCAACUAAAUGAUGGUCAGAGAGCUCAUUUUAGCCCUCUGGUCCUCCAAGAAAUUAAUUUUUUAAUGAACAGUACAGGGCCAUAUUUGCCUCCAUCUCCAA